CUUCUUACAAGUCUCUGCUUGUAUCUUUAAGCAGUUUAGGAAUACAAAUAACCAAAUUGGAAGGUUCGUAUCUAGCCUGUGGAGUGGCUGUUAUGCUUGUUAACUUGAUCUCUUAUCCUAGAUUAACUGAAGUCUUUGAAUUAAUCUACCUUUCCUGGGAGGAAGCUAGCACCAUUUAUCUUAUAUACAACUGUCUUAUAAGUUUUGGAAACACAUUGAGGGUGAUACUGAAGAAUUCUGCCUUGAAUUUCUGCUCGGACAGGAAAACACAGCAGUGA
rnacentral:lncRNA from 1 species